rnacentral:misc_RNA from 1 species
AACGCAUAUUGCACUCUCUGGCAUUCCGGAGAGUACACCUGUUUCAGUAUCAUAAGUACAAGAUCGAAAAAAAGUUUUUUCUUUUUUUCGGAUUUGGGCCUUGCCGAAGAUAAAUCGGCUGGUCUUGAAUGAAAAGGAAACACCAAAAAGGGCUUACACACGCAGAAGGGGGGGAGAGGGUGGAGCAAGGGGAAAAAGAAACUCGUUUCUUUUUUUCCUCUCUUCCUCGGCCCCCCCCUUUUUGAACGAAAAAAAUAAGGCGUAAUUAGUUGAAUCUUUUUUCAUUUUUUCGCGCUGAAAAUAUAAAACGUCCAAAGGGUUUUUUGCGUGUCGUGUGUGUUUUUUGGCUGUGGAUUUUUUGCAGGAAAAAAACAAAAAAUAAAAAAAAGGAGACAUGUCUUCUUUUCUUUAAUUUUUUGAGCCUUUGAUCUGAAAUCAGGUGGGACUACCCGCUGAACUUAA